ACUUACGGCCAUACCAUCCUGAAUACGCCCGAUCUCGUCUGAUCUUGGAAGCUAAGCAGGGUCGGGCCUGGUUAGUACUUGGAUGGGAGACCAACUGGGAAUACCAGGUGCUGUAAAUG
rnacentral:rRNA from 1 species